UGGGGGAUAUUGCACAAUGGGCGAAAGCCUGAUGCAGCGACGCCGCGUGGGGGAUGAAGGCUUUCGGGUUGUAAACCUCUUUCGCUAUCGAACAAGGCCCGCUUAGGGUGGGUUGAGGGUAGGUGGAGAAGAAGCGCCGGCUAACUACGUGCCAGCAGCCGCGGUAAUACGUAGGGCGCGAGCGUUGUCCGGAAUUAUUGGGCGUAAAGGGCUUGUAGGCGGCUUGUUGCGCCUGCUGUGAAAACGCGGGGCUUAACUUCGCGCGUGCAGUGGGUAUGGGCAGGCUUGAGUGUGGUAGGGGUGACUGGAAUUCCAGGUGUAGCGGUGGAAUGCGCAGAUAUCUGGAGGAACACCGAUGGCGAAGGCAGGUCACUGGGCCAUUACUGACGCUGAGGAGCGAAAGCAUGGGUAGCGAACAGG
rnacentral:rRNA from 1 species